rnacentral:rRNA from 1 species
CAGAGGGGCAAGCGUUGUUCGGAAUUACUGGGCGUAAAGGGCGCGUAGGCGGCCUGCUAAGUCGAACGUGAAAUCCCCGGGCUCAACCCGGGAACUGCGUCCGAUACUGGUUGGCUUGAAUUCGGGAGAGGGAUGUGGAAUUCCAGGUGUAGCGGUGAAAUGCGUAGAUAUCUGGAGGAACACCGGUGGCGAAGGCGGCAUCUGGACCGAUAUUGACGCUGAUGCGCGAAAGCCAGGGGAGCAAACGGGAUUAGAUACCCCGGUAGUCCUGGCCCUAAACGAUGAAUGCUUGGUGUGGCGGGUAUCGAUCCCUGCCGUGCCGAAGCUAACGCAUUAAGCAUUCCGCCUGGGGAGUACGGUCGCAAGGCUG